rnacentral:lncRNA from 1 species
GUCAGUCGCUUCUCAGAGAGCAGUCGUUCACUUCCGGAAGGAGGGGUUCCUUCCAUCCCCUUUCCAAUGGAGAUGGUAUGCGCCUUGUCCGCCUCUCUGAUCUGAUCGUUUUCGAUUUUUUUUUUAAUCCCGGUAGGGAAUGACGGAGAUGUGUGUGACGAGACAGUUCGAUCACCGGGUCUUUUUAUGUGAGGAUCUGGUUUUCUUCAUCCCUCGUAAGUUCAUUGCCCAGUGUUCCGCAUCACGUUGUCUUGAAUUGAAGCUUGAUUUUCUCUCCUCGUCCGGUAGAUGAACGCCAAAUGGAGCUCUUGCUCCGCCUCGCUGAUCUGAUUGUUUUUCGAUUUUGUUUACGCCGGUUGGGAAAGACGGAGAUGUGUGUGACGAGACAUCUCGAUCACUUGUUCUUUUGAUGUGAGAAUCUGGUUUUCUUCAUCACUCGUAAGUUCAUAGUGUUCAGUGUUAUGAUUCACGUUUUCUUGACUCGAAGUUUGGUCGGUUUCUCUCCUCGUCCGGUAGGGGAGAACACCAAAUGGAGCUCCUGCUCUCAGCGUUGUCUGUUUUUCUUGAUAAUCCUGGCCGACUAUUGGGAAUUCUAUCUGUCUUUUCGAUCCGAUCCGCUUGGGAUUGCUGGUGUCACGAGAACCCAGCGACUGUAAUCGUGUUUCUACGUUUUAGGGUUGACGACGGUUUCUAGUUAAGAAAACGAUAUUCGAGCCUACGCCGUCGACUUUGGGUUUCGGAUUUUAAUUUCGCAUACCUUGUUAGAAUGAACUGUCUUGGAUCUAAGAGGCGACGAACAACGUCAUGAUGAUUAUAAUAAUUUGAAACUUACUUUGAAUCCAAGGUUUAUAAGGAGAUCAGGGGUCAUGUGAUCAGGCGUCCUUUUCUUCUAAAUAUAUUAAAACUAAUUUUAAAAACAAUAUUUUAGUGAAGACGGAUUCCCCUGAAUCAUUACUUAACAGCAAGAUCAGUCAAAUAGGAAUGUGAUAGAAAGUGCAAAAUGAUUUGUUUUUAAAAGCACUUAUCCACAUAAAAUAUUCACUGUGACAUAUAUCCGUUCAUGUCUUGUUGGCAGAUGCCUAUUUUAGGAUCUCCCGUUCCUCAUCUUGAUUCGACUACACAGACGCUCAACUGCGAUUUGAUAUGUUUUGAUUCUCUCUGUAUUCUGUAGAAUAUGAAGAAUUCUUUCUGUCGUGUAUACAAAAAUUCUAAAAAAAUUGCAUACAAAAAAAUUGUUCAAGCAAGAGCGAUGCAAUAGGAAGACGGAGUGUCUCCAUCAUCCACGCUUCCGCCUUGUGGGUAUCUGUCAGGUAUUCACUUUCUGGGUAUAGAAAGAACUAAAGAAUUUCUUGACCCUUUUACCGAUCUAGGUCCUAACGCUGUGAUCUACACUUCCGGCAAGGGCGCCAUCUGCUCGCCGCCGGCCUCCGGUCUGCUCCCAUCCUGUUUCGCUGGACUGGGGUUCUCUGCGGGGUGAGCAAGCACUUCAGAGGAUCGGUGGCGGUGUUGGUGGCUGGCGAUGGCCGCCCAGGAGAGAACCAGAAAUGAAGCAACUGCCGACAGCACCGCCAUGGCGGUCCACGCCAUCCGCGCCCAUCUCUUCAUCGGCCUGCAUUCUCCAUGAAGGAUCUCAGCGAAGGCGUCCUUCACC